rnacentral:rRNA from 1 species
GACGAACGCUGGCGGCGUGCUUAACACAUGCAAGUCGAACGGAAAGGCCUGCUUUCCCUUGUGGAUUGCGGGUACUCGAGUGGCGAACGGGGGAGUAACACGUGAGUGAUCUGCCCCCAACUUGGGUAUAAGCCUGGGAAACUGGGUCUAAUUCCCGAUAGGACUGCAGGGUGGUGCCUGUGGUGGAAAACGAUUUUCUAGUGGUUGGGGAUGAGCUCGCGGCCUAUCAGCUUGUUGGUGGGGUAAUGGCCUACCAAGGCGGCGACGGGUAGCCGGCCUGAGAGCGUGGACGGCCACAUUGGGACUCAGACCCGGCCCAGACUCCUACGGGAGGCAGCAGUGGGGAAUAUUGCACCAUGGGCGGAAGCCUGAUGCAGCGACGCCGCGUGGGAGAUGACGGCCUUCGGGUUGUAAACUCCUUUCGACCGCGAGGAAGCCACCUGGUUGGAAGGGUGGUGACGGUAGUGGUAGAAGAAGCACCGGCUAACUACGUG